UGUUAAGAAAAACGUAGACAAAUGGAGGUCUGAGAGAAACAAGGAUUCUAUUGAGAACUGGGCUGGUGUCAUUCGUGUGCUAUUCUGGCAAAGGGUCUGGCUACGUUUUGUUCAUGUCCUGACAACUUGAGUGAAGCUAACUUGGAAAGUGAUGAACUAAUGUGUUUGGCAGGGGAAAUGUCAAGGCAGAUACCAUCCAGUCUGUGUUAUGGUUUCUGCUCACUGCGUGUAUCCAAGUCUGCAGAGAGAGAAAGCAACCGUGGGAGAGAAAAGAUGUGAAAAAUGUGUCACUCGCUGAAGAGAGGAGAGAGUCUACUACUGCAGGCAAGGACAUCUUAGGAUCACAUCUCCUAUUAAUAUAAACGUGGAGCCAGGAUGAUGAAGACUGAAAACUUGAGGGAAGUUGGCUGGAAACCAAAACUCAGUUCCAAAAAAAAAGCAAACUCUACCAGGAAGCUCCUCCCUCCUUCAGCAUCUAUCAGGAAGCUCCUCCUCCUUCAGCAUCUACCAGGAAGCUCCUCCUCCUCCAGCAUCUACCAGGAAGCUCCUCCUCCUUCAGAUCUACAAGGAAGCUCCUCCCUCCUUCAGCAUCUACCAGAAGUUCCUCCUCCUUCAGCAUCUACCAGGAAGCUCCUCCUCCUCCAGCAUCUACCAGGAAGCUCCUCCUCCUUCAGAUCUACAAGGAAGCUCCUCCCUCCUUCAGCAUCUACCAGAAGUUCCUUCCUCCUUCAGCAUCUACCAGAAGCUCCUCCUCCUUCAGCAUCUACCAGAAGUCAAAUGCUAUCCUAAUUCAUAUCCCCUUAAAGCUACUAAAAAUUAAUGUUUCUCUUUAGAGUGAUAGUGGUUAGUUGUCACUAUAAAGCAUCUAUCUUAUUACGUUAAUUGAUCUCUUUUCUUAAUUUUAUGAAACCAGAUGGACUCCUGACUCUAUCCUUGAAAGGAGCAAUUUUGAUGAGUAAGGCGGAUUAUAACAAUCAAAAUGCCCAAUAAAGGGUUUACCAUGUGAGCGUA
rnacentral:sRNA from 1 species